rnacentral:rRNA from 1 species
GAUGAACGCUGACAGAAUGCUUAACACAUGCAAGUCAACUUGAACUUCGGUUUGGGUGGCGGACGGGUGAGUAACGCGUAAAGAACUUGCCUAACAGUUAGGGACAACAUUUGGAAACGAAUGCUAAUACCUGAUAUUAUGAUUUUAGGGCAUCCUAGAAUUAUGAAAGCUAUAUGCGCUGUGAGAGAGCUUUGCGUCCCAUUAGCUAGUUGGAGAGGUAACGGCUCACCAAGGCGAUGAUGGGUAGCCGGCCUGAGAGGGUGAACGGCCACAAGGGGACUGAGACACGGCCCUUACUCCUACGGGAGGCAGCAGUGGGGAAUAUUGGACAAUGGACCAAGAGUCUGAUCCAGCAAUUCUGUGUGCACGAUGAAGUUUUUCGGAAUGUAAAGUGCUUUCAGUUGGGAAGAAAAAAAUGACGGUACCAACAGAAGAAGUGACGGCUAAAUACGUG